rnacentral:lncRNA from 1 species
UCGAGACACAAUCGUUAGAAACAACAACCAGGAAACCUCCCCUUACACAAAAUCUUUAAAAGACAGACACAAAAUCCAAAACUGUUUGCAGGAGACCCUUUUUUUUUUUUUUUGUGCUUCCUCUUGGUUGUCAGGAGAAUGAAAAGGCCUAGGACACAUAGGGAUGGAUAUAAUUUACCGGGAGAUUUUCAUAACUGCAUAUGGAAUUCAUCAACUUCUCCUCCAAAUUCUUUUGUUGAGCUCAAUCUGGUAAACCUCGCAAAGCUUUGAGGCUUUCUUCAACGACAACAUCCUAUUCCAAUCCUCUGACAAGGACUUCAAACAUUGCUGUUAUCUAGAAAGAGACACC